rnacentral:rRNA from 1 species
CGGCAUGCUUAACACAUGCAAGUCGAACGGACUGAUUCCUUCGGGAUGAAAGUUAGUGGCGAACGGGUGAGUAAUGUAUGAGCAACCUGCCUCUGUCAACGGGAUAACAGUUGGAAACGACUGCUAAUACGGUAUAAGACCACGGCACCGCAUGGUGCUGCGGUAAAAGAUUUUUUCGGACAGAGAUGGGCUCAUAUCCCAUUAGCUAGUUGGUGAGAUAACAGCCCACCAAGGCGACGAUGGGUAGCCGAGCUGAGAGGCUGAUCGGCCACAUUGGGACUGAAACACGGCCCAGACUCCUACGGGAGGCAGCAGUGGGGAAUAUUGGGCAAUGGAGGCAACUCUGACCCAAGCAAUGCCGCGUGAGCGAUGAAGGUAUUUUUAUUGUAAAGCUCUUUUCUCAGGAACGAAUAAAGAUGACGGUACCUGAGGAAUAAGCCCCGGCUAACUACGUGCCAGCCGCCGC